CCAAAAAAGUAAGAUUGGAGCAUGGCUGAGGUAGGGAGUACAGAAAAGGAUAUGUUGUUCACAGAAGCAGAAAACUUGGUUCCAUUGGGUCCUUGGCAGGUCUGGUUUUUAGCGCAGGGACUGGUUCCUAGACCUAUAGUGAAAAAGAAAUGUUUAUCCACUUUCUGUGGCACAUUAGCAGGAUAUUUAACACUCGCCAAGCUACGGAGUCUUCUUGAAAAAUCAAAAGCAAAGGGAGUGUCAUUGAGAGAGGGUAGGGUUGGUUUUAAUGGAGGAAGCCGCUUAAUAGAUGGAAAGGCAGUAUUUGUUGGUGAAUCGUAUUCAAGAAUUGCAGCAACAGUGGAAUUGUCGAAUGUGCCACUGCCGGUUGCGUAUGGUCUUGCAGCUAUGAAGAAAGUGGCAUUUGGGAAAAAGGGUUUGGUCUUGAGAAGAACAUUCAUUGUCUGUCCUGGGGUUAUCAGAAAUGUAUCGGUCUCGAAAGGUUUGAUAUAAGAUGCGUCAGCUUCAACUACUGUGACUGUAUGAUUUGCAAUGCUGAUGAAGAGCUCAUCAUUGAGAGCAGCGUUGAUCAGGCGAAGAAGGUAAGUUUUUCCAGGCUUCACCUUCAGCUUGUAUGUGUCCUUAUUGGCAGAGCAAUUAUACAGUGGCCCUGGAAGUCCAUUGAUGGUAUAGGCAGCAGAGACAUUUGGGCCUGCACCUGUUUUGA
rnacentral:misc_RNA from 1 species